rnacentral:rRNA from 1 species
AUGCAGCUGGAUGAGUACGUCAUGUGCAGGAUCUACGUGACGCCGAGGAAGCGGAAAAGGAACGACGAUGAGGCGGGCCCCAGCGGGACGUCGGAAGAAUUUACGUGUCAGGAGCCCGGGCUGGUGGAGACGGCGGGGCCGAAGCUCUCGGAGCGACAGGCGGGCAAGAGGCCCGUCGAGCCGGAGCAGCCUGCCCCGCCCCCGCCGGACCGAUGCUUCGGACCACAAGACGGCAUGCAAGUGCGCCGUUUCGGGACUGCUACUGGGUACCCCCACGGUGGAACCGGGCUGACGAUGAUAUACAACCCCUAUGCAUCAACGUCGCGGCCGCCGGUGGCGUUCACCGGCGAGAUGACCGCGUACGGGGCCGCCGCACCUCCCCAUGGCUAUUUCUCCCAGGCAACGAUGAUGCGACAAAUAGGUGCCACGUCCGCGCAAGCGUUCAGACCACCGCCGGCGACUAUCUCGCGACGUCCGCAGAUGAUGCAGAAGCAGCCGGAGACGGAAGAGAUGCGCCAGAAGCGAGUGUACCAGCAACAUGUGAACGAAAUGGUGAGGUGUGGCAUGAUGCAACAGCUUGGAAAUGCGGCUUACGCUGCGCAGCAACCGCGGCCGAUGGCGUUCAUGAAGAAGGAGCAGCAGCAACCAUACUUUGGCGCUGGAGUGAACAAUCAUCAUGUGGCCCCUCAGUUCCUGCCUUGCAACAAUCAAACUGUCCAAGUUCAGAAUUGGCAGUGCAGUUGGGCGGUCCCAGACUCUGGCACGGCGACGAUGCCGGUGAAAGUCAAGGCGGAGGAGGAUGUAGAGACUGGGGCCGCAAACGAGGGGACCGACGUCAAUGGGGAUUGCAACAGUGAUGGUGAGAAGCCCUUUGGGAAGAGUCAAUUUGGUUGA